UUGCUACUUUAAACUGUGAAAAAAAACUCUGCUACUUGUUUUCCUAACUGAAAGGACUUGGAGAAAGUUGAUGAUGCCCUUGUUGCUUGAGAUUUGCAGUGUCUUUUGGAAGAAUGUUUAUGUAGACCCUGGAAUUAUUACAGUUAUUGUCUCUCAUCUGCAGAUGAAGCCAGGCAGCUUUCUGAGAUCCAGCCAUGGCUGUCCCUGGGGCCUUGUGAAAAUGCCCUGAUCUUGCAGGCCUACAGAUGGGUUUUCCUUAACACUGUGUUCAAUACCAGCUCCAGCCAGAAACACAGCACCCUCUGUAAGCAAACAGCCUGGAAUAAAGGGCCAGAGGUGAGCUGUGAAGAGUCAGAGAGCUUGAGCCCAAAGCAUGGUGAAAACUCCUCCAUGAGAGGAAAAUGGAAGAGCUAAAUCUGAUGGUCCAUGGAAAACUGGUGAUGACACACAAAGGAUGUGCAGCCGAGGAGGAGGAUAUGUUGCAUCAUCUUUCUGGAUGUGCUUUAUGGAAGAGCAGCAAGAGGCUGGAUGUGUUUUGCAUCUCUCUGUGCUUCAGCAGUCACAACUCGCAGCAGUGUUGAGUCCACAGACUUGAGGGACACACAAAGAGAAGUGAAUGUCUGGGGGCUGGUGGAGCCCUGGCUGCUGGAGAGGGAGGGUCCAAGGACCAUCACCAAAGGCUGCUCUGAGCUGAU